AGCAAGUAGCUUUCCAGCUAUAUGAUGGGAAAGAAUAAGGGAUUUUAUAGUUCUAAACCAUUGACGCGCUGUUUGCUACUAACCAUUUAUGUGAUGAGAGUUCUGAAUAUUGGCUUGAUUUGAAGAAUGCCUUGUUUUGUAGCCCAGUGCACAGCACUGAAUCAUCCAGUGUUUAAAUUAUGCACAUCCCUCUGUUGUAAAACCUCUCCUACUAAACCUUUUGACAGCUGAAAAGAGAGCUUGUUGAUAGAAAGGAGGCCAUGGUAGUUGUGAUAUGCUAACAGCUGCAUUGCGGUAUUCUACUACUAGUUGUACCUGGUAGCAUAGGACUGUGGAGAACAACAAUGCUAUCCUUUGUUAGAUUUAUAUAGCACAUGAUCAGGGCAAUACAAAUAUACUAACCUCACGUGAAGUACCUGCUUGUGUAUGAUGCUCUACAUUUUCAUAAAUUCUUUCCUGCAAACAGAACAUUUCACAUCUUUCUAAUAAAACUUAACAAUUUUCUCCUAGUUCUGGC